CUUUGAAUUUAAUGAUAACAAAAUAAAUAUAAAUACAAAUACAAAUAAAAAACUAAAUUCCAUGAUCUCAUAACAGUGUUGUAUUGGUAACAUUUUAGAAUAAGUUUAUUUAAUGGAUUGAUAAGUUUACUUUGCUCGUUUCUCUGGGAACGGUAAACAACAUUAUGUGCUAUUCCGUUUGAUAUAAGUUUUCUACAGGUGCAUUUUUCUCAUUGUCAAUAAUACGACACCUCCUUAAUUUCUAUAUAUGUUUAGAUAUCUCAGC
rnacentral:lncRNA from 1 species